CAGGUCGCCUUGUAAGUCAGUGUGAAAGAGCGAGGCAUAACCUCAGGAAAGCACUGGAAAGGCAGAGUCUAGAGUAGUUAAGAGUAGCAUGAAUUCCUGGUGUAGCGGUGAAAUGCGUAGAGAUCAGGAGGAACACCAGUGGCGAAAGCGUGCUACUAGGCCGUAACUGACACUGAGGUACGAAAGCUGAGGGGAGCGAACGGGAUUAGAUACCGCAGUAGUCCUAGCCGUAAACGAUGAAUAUUAGCCGUGGAGCGAAUACGACUGCGAGCCGGGCCGGAGAUAACGCGAUAAGUAUCCCGCGUGGGGAGUACGCACACAAGUGAAAAUCUAAAAGGAAUAGACGGGGGCCCGCACAAGCGGGGGAGUGUGGGGUAUAAUUAGAUGCAACGCGAAGAACUUCAACAUGACUUCACAUGUCGUGAAUCCUUCUGAAAGGAAGUAGUGCCUUUAGGAGCGCGAACACACGGGGUGCACGGGGGUGGUCAGAUCGUGUGUCGUGAUGUUGGGGUAAGUGUCGCAAAGAGAGCAAACCUCGUGCUUAGAUGCCAGCACUAAGUUUGGCACUCUAGAGAGAGAGCCGGUGAGAAACCGGGGGAAGGAGGGGAGGACGCCAAGACGGCAUCCCCCCCAUGUCGGGGGGGGCACCAGUCCUACAACGAUGGGGACAACGGGCAGCAACGCAGCGAU
rnacentral:rRNA from 1 species